CCAAUUUCUCUAUCUCUUUCUCUCUAUUUCACAACACUUGUCAAAAUAAAAAGGAACCGCGUUCUUUUCCCCUGGCUUCUUGCUCUACAAAACCCUAAUACGGUCAAGACUCUCAAAUCUCAAUCGAUAACAACCGGAGCGGCAAAACCCAUGGCGGCGGUUUCUUUUACGCGGCGGAGUUUCCCUUCAUCUGGCAGCGUUUCCCUUCCGCAUUUAUCUCCGGAUCGGAACCACUCGAUAACGAUGGAUUGCACGACAGCCAAAGUAGCCAGUGUCCGUUACAUGGCCAUAGCUGCUGCCCUCGUGCAGCUUCUAUUGAUGUCGUUUACUGCGUAUAUGGCGGUGUAUAAGGUUAGGGAUUCAACUGGUUGGACUAUUAUGGUUAACAUCGAUUACAAGCAAUGGCCCGCCACCAAGGAUUUCCAGCUCUAUGACGUCAUUGGAUUUGUAAACUAUUCUGUUUUUCUAUAUGAGCGGUAUCAUCGAGUUUAGGUUGUUGCCAGCCCUCCAUUUGUAUUUCUGACUCUGGUAAAAAACUUAUUGAGACCUGAUUUUCAUGUUGCUGCACAAAACUCUGUUGGGUACGAAAAGCAUAUUGCAGUUGUUCUGAAGGGAACAAAACAGAACGGGUAAUUCAUAUUCUAAUGUGAUAAGAAUCACAAGAGAAGGUGUCAAGCAGAUUGUGAGUUUCCAAGUUAUGAUAACGAGCAGAUUGACGAAGGAAGAACUCGUUGGGUGCGCUAUGUUGUUCAACAAAUGUAUGGUGGAUAGAUUACAUUGAAGGAAUAAAAAAACAUACAACUCUAUUAAGUUUUGCGCAGUUUAAUGUUUGUAGUCUUAUUUUAGAACAUAUUUAUGUAAUACGUUAUAUUAUAGUGAAAAUUGUGAAAUUUUUUUUAUUGGAGGUUUGGAAUUAAUAUUUAACUAUUUAUUAUAGUA